AAAAUUUGACAUUAUUUUUUAACGGAAUUAAAAAAACAAUAUAAUGGGUUUUAUUAUUAAAUUACGUUAUUAAAUUAAACGCCGUUAUAAUUUAAAUAUUUUAAAUUAUAUAUUACGGCCAAGUAUAUAUUGGAAAAUUUCGGUAUAUUAGGCGUUAUUAACGAAAAUUUUAAAUUGAUAAAAAAAAAGAAAUUACAAUUAACGACGCGCUGGAAAAACGCGUUUAAACCUGGAAUUAAUGGAUUUUUUAAAACCCUGGGUUAAACGUGGUUGGUAAAUGGAAUAGUAAUUUCAAGGGUAGGUUUGGUGGUUUAUUUUUUAUAAUGGCCCAAAUAUACCAAUCGGCAAUAUAGAAAAAACGGUACCCAACGUUAAAAAAAAUAUUAAAUAAAAAUAAUUAAAGUUUAAAAAUUUUCAAAGUUUUAAUAUAUUAUUUUAUAUUUAAUUUAAUACCCAAAAACCCCUUUAAUUAACCCGUUAUUCCAUGGAAUAUUCAAAAUAAAAUUUAUAUAUUUACUAUAAAAAUAUCAAAUUUCUAUUUUUCGCAAUUAAUUAUCCCUGUAAACGUUUAAUUUUUAAUAAAUUUGCAAUCGGGGUUCGUUUCAAAAUUAACCGUAUAGGAUACGGUAUAAACCCUGCCGUACCGGCCAGGUAAAAUAUAUAUUGCGGGUUGUAAUUUAAAUUAUUAAAAUUAAUUUUUGCCUUUUAAUUCGAUUUUAUAAUAAGGUUUAACGUUAACGUGCAAAGUAAAUAAACCGAAUAAAACAAUUGCUUUAAAUUGCAUAUUAACGAUUGUUGUAAUUUCGAAUAAAAAGUAAAAUGGAUUAUAAUUAAAAAAAAACGGUAGGAAAAAUAUAGGAGGUAAACUGGAAGAAAAAUUUGUUUUGUGGUUUAAAAUGGUAAUUUGGAAAUAAUAAUUAAAAUGGCGAUUAAAUCGGGUAUUUAUAUUUACCUGUUAUAUUUGUUAAUAAAUUUUAAAAUAGCCGGUGCCAAUUAUAGGAAAAAAAUAUUUUACAUAAUAUAAUAUUAUAAAAAUGUUAAUUAAUUAAUACGCGUAAAUUGGGUCCAACGUAUUAAUAAUAGAAAUUAAUUAUAUUAAUUAUAUACGUUAUUUCGUAUAUAAUAAAUCCACUUUUAUUUAAUUAUAAUGUAUAAUAUAUACCGCCGGAAUCGGGUUAUUAAAUUAUUUGUUAAUUGUAAUUUGGGGGUGGCAAUUCGUACAAAUUGGCGAAUGGGGUUACGCACCCUAAUAUUUAUAAAUUAAAUACCCUAUAUCGGGUUUAAAUUAUUUCCAAAACCUGCGAUAAAUGCGAACCCCGAUAUUGGUUUAUAUGCAAAUUAGGGUGUUUUUCCAAAAACCCAUAUAAAAUAAUUUAUCGGAAAUUUACCUGCUGCACAAAAAUAUUUUCUGGUGUGCGGACCUCCAUUUCGAAAUUGGAAAAUAUAUAAAAAGCCAAAACAAAAUACUCCAACCAAUAUAAUAUCGUUUAUUUGCGUACAAAGUUCCAUUUGGUGCAUUAUUUUAAAUAUAUGGCGGAUUAUUUUAUAUAUUUGGUAUAUUAUUUUAUAUAUUUAAUACAUUAUAUUAUAUAUUAUUAUGGCCAAAUAUAUAUUAAAAAACCUUAAUAUAUUAGGCGUUAUUAACGAAGAUUUUAAACUGAAAAGAAAAUAAAAAUUACAAUUAAUAACGCGUUAAAAAAACGCGUUUAAAUCCGGAAUUAGUGGACUUUUUGCAAACCCUGGGUUUAACGUGGUUAGUAAAUGGAAUGGUAAUUUUGAGGGUAGGUUUCGUAACCUAAUCCUCACAUUUAACAAAUUAACGGAAUUCCAACAACCCCAUUUCGGCCCUAUAUAUUAUAAAUUAUAUAUGAAUAAAAUUGGAUUUGCUACCUGUAAAAUAAUGCAUAUAAUUAACAAUUAUAAUUUUUUUUUUCUAAUUUAGGAUUUUCGUUAAUAGCGCCUAAUAUAUAUAAAAAACGCAUAACCUUCCGUUCCGUCCAAAAAGCCAAAUAACCAAAUUGCAUAAAUAUUAUUUAAUUUAGGUUAUAUAAUAUAAUACCACGUUUGUACGCAAUACAAAUCGUAAUAAUACAAUGAGGUUUUUUAAAUAUAUACCUGGCCGUAAUAAAAAUUAAUAUAAUUUGUUAAAUAUUAAUAAUAACAAAUCGCAUAAAUUAUAUAAUUAAAUUGCAAAAUUUUAUUUUUCCUAAUUAUAAUAAUAUUGCAUAUAAAAUAUAAAUUAAAAACUUUUAUUUAUAAAGGUUUUUAAAUUUAAUAAUUGGUUUAAUUAAUUUCGUUUUAACCGUUUUUAUUAUUAAUUAAAAUAUAUAAAUUCAGCGAAAAAAUACCAUUUAAUCCCUUUUGUUUUCGCACAACUUUACCAACCAAAUUUCGUCCAUUUAUAUUUAAUACGGUAAUAUUAUUUUAUUAAUUAAAUAACUUUUCCAAUUUUUUAUUUUAUUAUCCAAUUUCCAAUUUAUUUAAAUUACCGGUUAAUUAAAAUGCGUUUUUAUAUUGUUUUCGCCGUUUUUUCCGCCUUUUCCCGGCUAUUAUCGUCAACCCUGGUUAUAAAAAUAACCUCGAAACGCGCCAACCUGUUUCGAAAACGGCUUUUACCGGCAAAUUUAGCGAUAAAAAAAACCAGGUAAAACCAAACCCUAUAGCGAAAAAGGAAAAUAUUAUAUUAAUUUUAACGAUUGUUGUAAUAUAUUAUUUUGUAACGGUAAUGGUUAUUUUAAAACCAAAUUUUAAAAUUUACCGUUUAAAAAUAAAUUAAUAUUGCCGGCCCGGGUAUUUUAUUAUUUUUCGCAAUGUAAAAUUAUUUGCGGUAUUAUAUAGGAUAAAAAUAUAUUUUUUUAUAUUACGGAAUGGCGUACCUGGGCGAUUACCAACCGUAAUUAGUUUUAUUUUACGUAAUAAAAUGCCAAAAUUUGCUUAUUAUUUGUUAAUUUAAACGCGUAUACGCGAUUGGCAUUGCGUAUUUUUUUUUUUACAUUUAAUUUCAAAUUUUCGAACAAAAUCGCCCUUAUAUUGCAACUUUAUUUUUUUGGAAUCGUUUUCGUAAUAAUUAUAUUGGUUGGGGAAAUUUUGUUUUAUUUUUUUAUAUACCCUCCGAUAUCGAAAUGGGGGACGGCACGCCUGUAAACGUUCCGGUACCGUACGUAAUUUACCGAAUAAUUAUUUUAUAUGGGUUUUGCAAAAAACACCCUCGUUACUAUAUAAACAAUCUUUAGGUUCGCACGCAAUUAAUUUGGUGAAAAUUUGCACCCGGUACAGGGUAAUUAAUUUGUAAGUACAGGGUGGGUAAAAAUUCUAAUAUAGGGUAAUUUCUAUUCCUAAUUUCCGAUCCGCAACGCCUGCACUAAUAUAAUAAUUUUCUAACGUUGGGUACCGUUUUUUCUAUAUUGCGGAUUGGUAUAUUUGGGCCAUUAUAAAAAAUAAACCACCAAACCUACCCUUGAAAUUAUUAUUCCAUUUAUUAACCACGUUAAACCCAGGGUUUUAAAAAAUCCAUUAAUUCCAAAUUUAAACGCGUUUUUCCAGCGCGCCGUUAAUUGUAAUUUCUUUUUUUUUUAAUUUAAAAUUUUCGUUAAUAACGCCUAAUAUACCGAGAUUUUCCAAUAUAUACCUGGCCGUAAUAUAUAAUUUAAAACAUUUAAAUUAUAACGGCGUUUAAUUUAAUAACGUAAUUUAAUAAUAGAACCUAUUAUAUCGUUUUUUUAAUUCCGUUAAAAAAUAAUGUCAAAUUUUA
rnacentral:sRNA from 1 species